rnacentral:rRNA from 1 species
AGCGAACGCUGGCGGCAGGCUUAACACAUGCAAGUCGAGCGGGCAUCCUUGUGGUGUCCGCGGCAGACGGGUGAGUAACGCGUGGGAACGUGCCCUUCGGUUCGGAAUAACUCAGGGAAACUUGAGCUAAUACCGGAUACGUGCGAGAGCAGAAAGGUUUAUCUGCCGAAGGAUCGGCCCGCGUCUGAUUGGCUAGUUGGUGAGGUUACGGCUCACCAAGGCGACGAUCAGUAGCUGGUCUGAGAGGAUGAUCAGCCACACUGGGACUGAGACGCGGCCCAGACUCCUACGGGAGGCAGCAGUGGGGAAUAUUGGACAAUGGGGGCAACCCUGAUCCAGCCAUGCCGCGUGAGUGAUGACGGCCUUAGGGUUGUAAAGCUCUUUUCUCCGGGACGAUAAUGACGGUACCGGAGGAAUAAGCCCCGGCUAACUUCGUG